CCUAGUCUCAGUUCGGAUUGGGGUCUGCAACCCGACUCCAUGAAGCUGGAUUCGCUAGUAAUCGCGCAUCAGCCACGGCGCGGUGAAUACGUUCCCGGGCCUUGUACACACCGCCCGUCAAGCCAUGGAAGCCGGGAGUGCCUGAAGUGCGUGACCGCAAGGAGCGUCCUAAGGCAAUACCGGUGACUGGGGCUAAGUCGUAACAAGGUAUC
rnacentral:rRNA from 1 species